GUGAGUGAACUUGCAUUAAAAUGCUUUGGGAGAUACACAUUUAUGUUUGAUUGAAUCCCCUAAAACGUUUUAUUGGUUUUUCUUCAAAAACUUGCAUAGGAACAAGCCCUUAUGAAAUGUUUUUAUGUUACGAAAUGGAUAGUGUGAUGAAUUCAUAUGUUUAUGUAUAAUGUUGAUAUAUAUAUAUAUAUACUAUGUCAUAAAUGGUACCAUUGUGUGACAAAUGCAACCGUGCAUGUGCGGGGUG
rnacentral:lncRNA from 1 species